AUUAUACUCCCUCCAUCCGAAAAUACUUGUCAUCAAAAUGGACAAAAAGGGAUGUAUCUAAAACUAAAAUACAUCUAGAUACAUCCCUUUUAUCCAUUUUGAUGACAAGUAUUUCCGGACGGAGGGAGUAUAUA
rfam:Triticum aestivum genome assembly, contig: Triticum_aestivum_CS42_TGACv1_scaffold_112973_2AS